GCAGACACAACAAAGGCCCAUUGUGCUGGCAGCCAGGUACUUCCUGCAUGGCUGCCAGCCAUGCCAGCACCCAGAACAAGCUGAGGAGGGGUCCUAUGUGCUGGCAGAGACUCACCUGCCCUGUGGGACAACCUGGGAGGGGAAAGGAGAGCCCUGGAUUCUUUCUUAGGCAAUAGCAGACUUCAAGUUUACCUGACUCUGUCAUAUGCUCAGAGACACCUGCCAACAUUUCUGACUUCUGUUCCAGUGUGAGCAUGAAACCUUCUCACUAGCGUUGGGCUCUUCUAACUUGCACACCAACACCUGGGCAGAUGUGCCACAAAGAGAAGUCCCACCUCCAGGACUCCUGUGUAAAGGGGCAGAUACUAAGCUAACUGUUCAAUACUGGAUCCCUUCCAGAGCCUGAAAUAACCAUCUACCACUUGAAAUAACCAUGGCUGUUCAGGAAGGGCCUAAUGUCUGAAGAGGAACUCUGGGGUCACAGAGCUCAGCAGUCAGUAGAGACAA